GAUUUGGACCCCCCACAGCCGUCUGGAUUUGGACCCCCCAGUACGCACAGGAGUCUGAUGGAGCGGGUUAAGCCAAAUGAUACAUUUUUACUUGCCUGCGCCUCACUACGACUGCUGUAAUUCCACCCAUCCUCAUCCAUCCAUCUAUCCCACCAUCCAUCCCUCCCUCCCUCCUCCUCUAAUACAUCUUCAGAUUAAGAGAAAAUCUCAAAUACGGAUAACGCACAAGGUGCAAGUCAACAACAAAGUAAUGCUACAAACCACAAGGAGGCUGGUCUAGACACAGAUACCACAAGGUCUUCUGACUGAGGAACAACAUCAGAGUCAUGAUCAUUCUUGGGCUAUGUCACGGGGGCAGCAGUCUUAGGAGAGAAGUUCAGACUUCCCUCUCCCCAGACACUUCCUCCAGCUUCUCCAAGGGGAUCCCGAGGCAUUCCCAGGCCAGCCGAGAGACAUAGUCCCUCCAGCUUGUCUUGGAUCUUUCCUGAGGCCUCCUCCCGGUGGGACAUGCCUGGAAGGCCUCCCUAGGUAGGUGUCUUGGAGGUAUCCGAAACAGAUGCCCGAGCCACCUCAGCUGACUUCCCUCAAUGUGGAGGAGCAGUGGCUCUACUCCGAGCUCCUCAUGGGUGACAGAGCUCCUCACGUCACGGCCUGCCACCCUGCAAAGGAAACUCAUUUCGGCCGUUUGUAUCCAAGAUCUUGUCCUUUUAGUCAUGACCCAAAGCUCAUGACCAUAGGUGAGAGUAGGAACGUAGAUUGACUGGUAAAUUGAGAGCUUUGCCUUUUGGCUCAGCUCCUUUACCACAAUGGACUGGUAUUUCAACUACAUCGCAGCCACUGCACCAAUCUGCCUGUCAAUCUCACGUUCCAUCCUACCCUCACUCGUGAACAAAACCCCAAGAUACCUGAACUCCUCCACCUGGGGUAAGGACUUUCCUCCAUCCUGGAGAUGGCAAACCACCUUUUUCUGGUGGAGCACCAUGGCCUCGGACUUGGAGGUUCGGAUUCAUCCGAGUCACACCGUCCCAUUGCAUACCGAACGUCCAUGUUCUAUGAAGCCAUCAGAACAACAUCAUCUGCAAAUAACAGAGACGAAAUCCUGUGGUCGCUGAACUUCACCCCCUCCAGCCCAAGGCUGCGCUUUGAAAUUUUGUCCAUUGUUAUCAAUUCUGUUCAUAAUUUUUAUGGACAGAAAUUGUUCACUUAAAUGAA